CGCUGCGAGCCCGGCGAAGUCCUCAGCCCGCCCCACUUGCCCACUCCCCACUUCCCGAGCCGGCUCCGUGUUUGGGAGGGCAGUGAUCACGCAAGCCGGAGCGGCGGGCUGACGUUGGACGAGCUGCCAGGUAGCUGGAAGCAGGCAGCCAGGCAGCCGAGACACUUCCCAGCGAUUCCAGCCUGGGCUCCGCAGGAAGCCUCGCUGAAUCCCCGCCAGCUGGUUCUAACCUUCCAGAAUCGCAAUCCCUUCUCCCCACAGCCAGCCCUCGCCGAGCAAGCAGCAGGAUGUUUGCAGUGUCGCGCCCAGGGCUCUGAGACUGAGCCUGCCAUCCACUCGCACGCCUUUCUUUCAGGGCUUUUCGGCUGUUGGCUACACUGAUGUGACCCCCCCCCUCCCUUUUUGGAAUGAUGGGGAUCUUUUUGGUGUAUGUUGGAUUUGUUUUCUUUUCCGUUUUAUAUGUACAACAAGGGCUUUCUUCUCAAGCAAAAUUUACCGAGUUUCCGCGGAACGUGACGGCGACCGAGGGGCAGAAUGUGGAGAUGUCCUGCGCCUUCCAGAGCGGCUCCGCCUCGGUGUAUCUGGAGAUCCAAUGGUGGUUCCUGCGGGGGCCGGAGGACCUGGAGCCCGGGGCCGAGGGGGCCGGCGCGCAGGUGGAGCUCUUGCCCGACAGAGACCCGGACAGCGACGGGACCAAGAUCAGCGUGAGUGCGGGGGCGCGCCGAGGGCCGCGGGCCCAGGCCCGGGACGCACAGCCCUUCCCUGUCCCCGAGAAGGCGGCUUGCCAGCGCUGCAGGACAGCCGGACAGCCGGGUGCCCCUUGCUUGCCUCAUUAGAUACAUACAAAUGGAAGCACGUUUACAUUCCC
rnacentral:sRNA from 1 species